rnacentral:lncRNA from 13 species
GAGUAAGGCUGCCAGCCCUGGGAGACUGCCCCAAGGACAGCCCUCUAAAGGUAAGAAACAGCUUUUAGUUCUGAUGCAAAACGUCUGGUUGUAACGGAGACCAGUUGGUUGUAAUCUAGUAAUAUGAUGUGUUGAAAACCAGUUUACAAUGAGAUAAUAACACCAUUAAGACACAUGGACCACCUACUAGUUAGAACUAAUAGUAUUGGAAUUCUGAUUUUAGUUCUGAUUGUAAUUCUAAGGUUAUGAUUUAUAAUUGGAGAAGCGGGCAUAAUAAUGGAGGGCUUAAGUUAAAUGUAUUUCCUUAUGAUCUGUACCCCAGGCUGGGACCCUCCAAGCUAGCGCUGGAGAGCAGGUGCUCCAGACAGACGUCAUUUCCGCUGGCCAUGAUGGAGUAAGGCUGCCAGCCCUGGGAGACUGCCCCAAGGACAGCCCUCUAAAGGUGUCCUGCCAGCUAUCAAGAAGGGCACUAAAGUUACUCAAAUGGAGACAACAGAAACCCCAGGUCCCCUGACACCUAAUGAUGGGGAGAUAAUGAUCUCCUCUCCAUCUGUUGAUGACCUCCUGACCCCAAAGAGUGAUGUGACGUCCGAGGCUAAGAGCGAUGAAGCCUCCUGUCCAAUUUCACCUGAGGCGUUCUCUCUAACGAACUUCCUGAAGUCUCACCCGUGAGUCCUGCUGUGAACCUCUAUAUGUGCAGAACAAAUAUAAUCUAUGUAAACACUAGUUUAAGUUGCCAAUGAUUCCUGGUGUUUGUUUGUUUUCCAGUCAGAGAAAGCUUAUCAGGAAGUUCCUCAAACAAAUGAACGUGACAAUAGGCGACCUGGACGAAACCAUCGAGUGGGUGGUGUGUGUCUCCAGUGAGGUGUUCCUCCCAGUGAUGGCUCUGCACAGGACCUCCAGACCAGAGUCGUCAGACUCGUCCCGCUGGGGGUCAGGUGUGCUCCAGAUCGUCUCUGAAAAGUUCCACCAGCGGAGUUCUGAGCCGAAGGGAAGGCUCCUGGGCGGGCAGCCGCCCACUCCCCCUUCUGAGACCGACAAGGAGCUUCAGGGCAUAGCAGAUCUGUCUGUGGGUAACAUCCUGAAAAGGGCCCAGGAGGACCUCUUCUCUUCUGGUGAGGAUGACCUGGAGAACACCCAUCCAGGUAUUACUCUGACAGAAGAGAAGCUGUCCAGAAUAUUCUCAGAGCUGUUCAGGGAUGCCUGUGAGAGUGCCCAGGAGGCCGCCAGACGGAUCCACCACAUGAGGUCUGGAAGAGGCAACAACAGCCAGAAUGGGAGUUGGCCUGGGUCGUCACAGGGAUCGGGCAAAUCCAACAUGCCAGAGUUGGGAGAACUGGGGUCAGUGAGGAGUCCCAAGGGAAGUGACGUCCAUAAAGUCCUUAGCGAGGGGUCCCUCCCUGUCUUUGCCCUGUUUGAGGAGAGGCCAGGGGAAGUUGGGGAGACCAGCAGCCCUGCUGGGGAGAUGGACGAGACACAGACUGCCAGCACUCCCAGCAUUCCCCGGUCUGGGCAUGGCGGCAGAAGGAGUAGCCAGACCACCACUCCCACCCCCGGCCACAGAGAGGCAGGAUUCACAGCCAGUAACAUCUUUGAUGUUAUUAUUCAUCUGGCGCACUCUGACACUGACCGGGAACUCCACCAGGAGUUCAGCAGUGAGGAUGAUGUUUCACUGAAUGACAUCAUGGACAUGAAGUCAACCCCGGCAGUGGAGCCCCUGGGUCAGAUCCUGUCCUCAUGGAAGCUGGUCAACAUGAUCUUCAGGGGGAAGGUCCACUACUUUGGGAAGGAGCUCAUCUGCAAGGUGUAUCAGAUGCUUCUGGACACCGGUAUGGGCAGGAGGCCAAUGGCCCGCCAGAGCAGGUCCGAGCCCAUCCUGAAAGACCUGGCUGNNNNNNNNNNCAAAUCCAACAUGCCAGAGUUGGGAGAACUGGGGUCAGUGAGGAGUCCCAAGGGAAGUGACGUCCAUAAAGUCCUUAGCGAGGGGUCCCUCCCUGUCUUUGCCCUGUUUGAGGAGAGGCCAGGGGAAGUUGGGGAGACCAGCAGCCCUGCUGGGGAGAUGGACGAGACACAGACUGCCAGCACUCCCAGCAUUCCCCGGUCUGGGCAUGGCGGCAGAAGGAGUAGCCAGACCACCACUCCCACCCCCGGCCACAGAGAGGCAGGAUUCACAGCCAGUAACAUCUUUGAUGUUAUUAUUCAUCUGGCGCACUCUGACACUGACCGGGAACUCCACCAGGAGUUCAGCAGUGAGGAUGAUGUUUCACUGAAUGACAUCAUGGACAUGAAGUCAACCCCGGCAGUGGAGCCCCUGGGUCAGAUCCUGUCCUCAUGGAAGCUGGUCAACAUGAUCUUCAGGGGGAAGGUCCACUACUUUGGGAAGGAGCUCAUCUGCAAGGUGUAUCAGAUGCUUCUGGACACCGGUAUGGGCAGGAGGCCAAUGGCCCGCCAGAGCAGGUCCGAGCCCAUCCUGAAAGACCUGGCUGACAACCGUAGGCUCUCCAAUGAAUUCUUCACAGACGUGCUGUACAUGUUCAUCCAACGGGCCAUUAAGAAUCUGCUGGAGAACUUCUUGGGUCUGCCGACCACCCCACCAGGCAGAGACAUUAUGUGGAAUGACAACUUUAACUGGAUGUAUAGGGACGGCUGGGGGAACACCCCCACAUCCAGCGAGGAGGAAUUGUGGGACAGCGACUCCACCUGGUCAAGUGGGCAUGGGGAGGAGGAAGGGACAGAGUCCCGUGGGAGGUGGGCCGCUCUGUUGGAGAAGGGCAGCUUCCUGACCCUCCAGUCCUCCAGCUCCCUCUCCCUCUCCGAUGACAACAAGGAGGCACUAGGGGCCGUCUGCCAAGUCCUGACCACCAGGGUGGGAGACAUCCUGAACAGUACCUGCAACGACGAUUGCAAGGCCAGGCUCAUCAUCCAGAAAGGUACACUUAUAACCUGUUUUACCCAUAUGACCAGUAAUAACAGUGUAAUAACCUGUGUAAUAACCCGUGUAUUACCAUUAUAGUAAAUGUGCUAGAUACUGCAUAGUGUUAUACAUGAAUGUGGCUUUGAACCAUUUCAGAAUAUGAGUGUAUUUUCUUAGGAUUGGAUUCCGGUGCCAGGGAAAGGUUCCCUGACUUUCCGUGUCCCUCUUCACCCAAGGACGAAGAGGAGGUGGUUGUGAGUGCCAUGACUGUCUCAUACCCUAAACCCUCCACCUCAACCCAGGCAGCAUGGGCAGCUCCUGCCCAGACUCUGGAUGUUUUUCUGCCCAGACCCUGCCUGGAUGAAGAAGAGGUAGUGCCCAGCACCUCCUUGAAGGACAACUCUGUGACGACCACCCAUGCAGCACUGGCAGCUCCUUCCCAGACCCUGGUAGAAGAGGUGGGAGAAGCUGAGGUGUCCAACGUGAGUGAGUGCUCCCUGAUGCCCACCAAGGCCCUUGAGAAGAUUCCCUCCCUCCUACCAGGCAAGAUCCUUAUCGAGGAGGACACCCUCAGUUGCAGCACUCCCUGGGCCACCGUCAUGAGCCCCCAGACCCUGAAGUUUAUCCUCCACGGCAUCAUGUGCCGACUGGAGGCCUCAGAGUCCCCCCAGACAAGGAGGGCCAAUGACCCCUUCAGGCUGAUGAAGGAUCUCUUUCUGGAGGUCCAGCAUGCCCUGAAGUAUGCUGACAUCUCUGUCCUCUUUGGCCUGGAGGAGAGCAUCCAAUUCAUUGGGGAGGAUGCGGUGAAGGCCAUCGUGAAGACUGCAGCUAAAAGAUUGUCCCUGCGUUCGGACUCCAACCGGGCUCAACUGCGUGCCGCGCGCUCUGGUGGUGAGGCAGCCAUCAGGUGCAUGGCGGACACCAUCACACAAGUCAUAGAUGACUAUUCCGAGGACUGGAGUUCCGGCGGCCAUUUUGGAGCCAGGAGGAGCCGUGCUAGUGGGAGGUCACACUCCUCAACCUCCUCAAGGAGUGACGUCACCCUCACCGAGGAGCUCCUGGCCCGGAGGGAAUCCCUUGAAGAGGACCUAGCGGAGAUGGCUGAUGACAGCACUGGUUUGGAGAAGACCAUUGUAAGCUCAGCCAUCUCUGCCAAGUCCCAGGUAAUUAGCUACAUUUCUGAGAGCUCCGAGCCCAACAGCUGUGCCCUCUUCACAGACCUCGAGGACAUCACCUCCACACAUGUGAGACAGACAAGAACUAGUAGAUCGUUUAGUUAUUUGGGCUGUUUGAUUGUGAGGCAUCAACUCAAAUCUGUUUCUCUCUCUACGAAGGAGAAGGAUAAGAAAGAGGCUAUGAAGGAAGAAGUGAGGAAGUCAGGAAAGAAGAGGCGAAGAAAUAACAAGGACCAGAAGAAGAACAAGGUGUCUCCUCUUGGCAAUGAUAGUAAGUCCUCAUUUCUGUCAGUCAACAUGUGCGUCUGUCUUCAGCACACUAUUGUAAUGUAAGGACGGGAGACUAUGAUGAAGUUAUCAGGGUCUUAUUCAUUAGCCACUAAAUGGAAGAGAACAGACUAAAACAGGGAGGAACUUUCUUGAACUUGCCAACAAAUUAUUGUUUUUGUUUUCUGUUUCAAAACAUUUUGCUACUGUGUGCCUGAAUGAACACGACCCUGAUUUCCUGCCCUGUUCUAUGUCACCUGUUCAGGUACUGUGGCUGCAGAUGAGCCGAAGAAAAAACAGGCUCUCCUCCCGCGGAUCACAGCUGCCCUGGCAAGACUAUUUUGCUUCCCCUGCAAAAAAAGAUGCAAAAAGUAACUGCAGAGACGAGUUUGGGAAACCCUGAUACCACCUCCCCCAACCCACUUUCUAAAAAAACAUCAGUGCCACCAGAAGAGGGAGACAACCCCCCCUAACUCAUUUUAUUACCCCCCCACCAUUUAAUUUAAUAAACACAACUUUCAGCUAUUUUGAUCUUCUUUACUUUUUUUUUACAGACCCACCUGCAUGCUAUAGAUUCGUAAGGUCAAUUUGCUGUGUACUGUCUACAGUAUCAUUGUUAUGAGUAGGUUCACUUUGUCAGUCAUUAUUUGUACCUUUAUUUAACUAGGCAAGUUAGUUUAGAACAAAUUCUUAUUUUCAAUGACGACCUAGGAACAUUGGGUUAACUGCCUUGUUCAGGGGCAG